ACUCUGCAGCCUUGAAGUGCCCUCAGUUGUGUUCGUGCUGUGGGUCCAUUGGGCUUGCAGAAAGAGCAUUGGAUGGAGGAAGCCGAGGCAGGCCUGUAAAAAGCAACAGCAGUUCCAUGUGCAAUAUUCCUCCAACAUUCCCAGUACUGUUGCCACGGAGGUAAUGAUCGUCCCAGUGUCAUUAUCCAUCCAUCAACAGUAAGAACAAGUCUGCAGUGUGAUAUUGUUCAGCAAACAGAGAUCUGUUGCCGAACACUAAAAACUGCGACAUUC